GAUAGCGAGUCGUAGUCUAUUGCAGCUGAUUUCUUUACAUUACUGAACUCAGAACUUAGGCCGCCGACCACUGGUAAACCAAGCAUCAUAUACUCCUUUUCUGUCUCAUCAUUUUCAGUAGCAUUCUUUGAUGUUGGAAUGGUACUGCUCCCACUAAUCUGGCUAUUGCUACGCCUCAAACUCUGAUUACGAUUAAUCACACAACGUUUGGAGGUUGGAAUGGCACUGCUCCCACUACUCUGGCUAUUGCUACGCCUCAAACUCUGAUUUCGAUUAAGCACACAACGUUUGCCCUCUGCCCUGACUACUUCUUGCACAACAAAGUGAAGCAAUG
rnacentral:lncRNA from 1 species